rnacentral:rRNA from 1 species
AACGAACGCUGGCGGCAGGCUUAACACAUGCAAGUCGAACGCCCCGCAAGGGGAGUGGCAGACGGGUGAGUAACGCGUGGGAAUCUACCCAGAUCUUCGGAACAACUGAGGGAAACUUCAGCUAAUACCGGAUACGCCCUACGGGGGAAAGAUUUAUCGGAUCUGGAUGAGCCCGCGUUGGAUUAGCUAGUUGGUGGGGUAAUGGCCUACCAAGGCGACGAUCCAUAGCUGGUCUGAGAGGAUGAUCAGCCACACUGGGACUGAGACACGGCCCAGACUCCUACGGGAGGCAGCAGUGGGGAAUAUUGGACAAUGGGCGAAAGCCUGAUCCAGCCAUGCCGCGUGAGUGAUGAAGGCCUUAGGGUUGUAAAGCUCUUUCAGUAGGGAAGAUAAUGACGGUACCUACAGAAGAAGCCCCGGCUAACUUCGUGCCAGCCGCCGCCGUAACAC